UGUAUGUAUAUGGUAGUUUUGAAGUUUUUUGUUACUUAGUUUUGAAGUAAUUUUAUGGCAUAUCCUCCCAUUCCACUGCCUUAUACAACCAAUCGACCUUGAUCAUUUUUGGUAUGACUAUUGAUGUGAGGAGUAAUUAGAGGACACACAAUCAGAGAAACGGAGAUGAAGGCAAACAAACCUGCCUCCAGGACCGCUGCACACAGUAUCACUGUCCUCACUACAGAGACAGAGAGAGCGGAACUCACUUCCGACACCGGCGAUCCCCUGAGUUUUUUUUUUUAUCUGCCAUGUGAAACUACAAACCUGUCAAAGUCAGGACUUCCUACAAUUCAACUUUCAAGGACAAAUGGCGAGCAGAGAGGAUCCGACAGCAGGGGAUCAUUUCCCGAGUCCUGCCACACUUCCCACAAAGUCUCAGGGGAGGAGUGGGUCAAAAGAUCAAAUCAUUGUCUUGUUUCCACAGCUCCACCCUUUAACUGUCUCCGAACCUUCAUUUUGGUUUGGCUUUUAAACAUUUUAGAGCCAAAGUUGAGCUGUUGAAUGCAGAGCUGCAGAGCUGACAGAGGUCUGCAAUUAGACUGGUGUGACUUAUAAACAUUCACCUUUGCAAGAUGCUCUAAAUAGCACAGAGGAACUGCUGCUGAGAGACCUGCACUUAGAGUGGCUCAGAAUCAACCUCAGACAGCCACCGGAAAGAGAUGUGAAAUCUCAGCAAGAACAAGCAAGCAACUGGGGAUGCUUCAGGUUGGAAUGUUUACCAGCUCCAAAUACUGCCAGAAGGUGGCACCAAUGCACCAUAAGGAUGCUGUUCGAUCCAAACAAAAGAGCAGGAAGUUGGAGCAGGCAGACACAGAGCCGGCUCACUUCCUCUCCUCUACCAUUCCCCAGGCACUCUGCCGUCUGUGUAAACACACACACUUUUCCUGCAGUCCCUCCUCCUCCGUCUCCUCCUUCUUCACAU